ACGAACGCUGGCGGCGUGCUUAACACAUGCAAGUCGAGCGGUAAGGCCCUUUCGGGGGUACGACGAGCGGCGAACGGGUGAGUAACACGUGGGUGACCUGCCUCUAGCUCUGGGAUAAGCCUGGGAAGCUGGGUCUAAUACCGGAUAUGACCUCGCGGUGCAUGUUGCGGGGUGGAAAGCCUUGUGCGGCUAGGGAUGGGCCCGCGGCCUAUCAGCUUGUUGGUGGGGUGAGGCCUACCAAGGCGACGACGGGUAGCCGGCCUGAGAGGGCGACCGGCCACACUGGGACUGAGACACGGCCCAGACUCCUACGGGAGGCAGCAGUGGGGAAUCUUGCGCAAUGGGCGAAAGCCUGACGCAGCGACGCCGCGUGAGGGAUGACGGCCUCGGUUGUAACC
rnacentral:rRNA from 1 species